UACGGAGGGUGCAAGCGUUGUCCGGAUUUAUUGGGUGUAAAGGGUGUGUAGGCGGGGCCGUAAGUCAGGGGUGAAAGGCCGCAGCUCAACUGCGGGACUGCCUUUGAUACUGCGGCCCUUGAGUGUCGGAGGGGCCACUAGAAUUCGUGGUGUAGCGGUGAAAUGCGUAGAUAUCACGAGGAAUACCAGAGGCGUAGGCGGGUGGCUGGACGACAACUGACGCUGAGGCACGAAAGCGUGGGGAGCGAACAGG
rnacentral:rRNA from 1 species